CCCUGCCUCCUUCCUACCCCGCCAACACCUACUCUCUCUCUUCUCUUCCCUGCUUCCUUCCCUCCCAGCCUCGGCCUUCAGGCUGAACAGCCCCCCUGGCUCCACUGGUCCUUGGGCUCAGUCCUCAAGACCCUCUAGCAGCCCUGGGGAGCCACUGGUCCCCCCUUUACUGGCAGCCUCCUCUUCAGGGGCCUCUGGGUGUCCAGCCCCUUGGCCUCAAGGUGGAACCACAAGAAAACGCUGUCAUGUGUUCCAGUCUGCGGAAGCCCACCAAGCAGCAGCAGGACUUUACCACAGCCUGAGGCCUCACAGACAGGGAAACUCAGGCUCAGAAAGGAAGAAAGACCAGCCCGGCGUCGCCAGCUCCAACUCCUGGGCCUUUUCACUGCUCUUCUGAGAACAUUCUAGCCUCCCACAGUUGGGACCUGCUUGUCUUAGCAGUGGCUUAAAAGGCUGCACUUGCUCCUUCUGCAUUUCUAUUUCGAGUCAGCGGGCACUUCCUAAAGCCUCCCAGAGCACCCUUCAGGGGUUGCACAUUGGACCCACAUGGAUGUGAAGUGAGUCUCCUUUUCUACAGGUAAAAAGAAAAUAAUUUGAUUGGCAAGAAGUCUUUUGGCUGUGAGGUUUCCACUGAGCAGAUGACAGCAUUUCAGCUUAGAUAAGUGAGGCUUUUUUGGUACUGCUGAGAAGGCUGAGGCUCUUUUUUUUUCUUUAGACGGAGUUUUGGUCUCAUUGCCCAGGCUGGAGUGCAAUGGCACGAUCUUGGCUCACAGAAACCUCUGCAUCCUGGGUUCAAGAAAGUCUCCUGCCUCAGCCUCCAGAGUAGCUGGGAUUACAAGCACGUGCCACCAUGCCUGGCUGAUUUUGUAUUUUUAGUAGAGAUGGGGUUUCUCCAUGUUGGUCAGGAUGGUCUCAAACUCCUGACCUCAGGUGAUCUGCCCACCUCAGCCUCCCCAAAGUGCUAGGAUUACAGACGUGAGCCACCGCGCCCGGCCAGGCUGAGGUUUUUUACACACAGACUUCUCAGUCUGGCUAGAGGCUUUCUGCACUCGCAGAACUUUUUUGAGGCGGGGUUUCACUCUGUCACCCAGGCUGGAGGGCAGUUGCACUAUCGCGGCUCAUUGAAGCCUUGACCUCCCUGGGCUCAGGUGAUCCUCCCACCUCAGCCUCCCAAGUAGCUGUGUGACUACAGGGACGUGCCACCACACCUGGCUAAUUUUUUCUAUUUUUUUUUUCUUUGUGGAGAUGGGGUUUUGCCAUGUUGCCCAGGCUGGUCUUGAACUCCUGGGCUCAAGCCUUUCCCCUGCCUCAGCCUUCCACAGUGCUGGGAUUACAGGCACAGUGCUGGGGUUACAGGUGUGAGCCACUGUGCCCAGCUGGUUGGACUCUUUCCACCUUUUUCCCCAAACCCAACUUUGUAUUGUUUUGCUUGGGUUCGGAAGUCCUGAUUUUCACACCCUUUUCAGGGCUGGGGAUUUACCAAAAUUUAAGGCUUAACAAAAAUUAAGGCCCCCAAAAGAUAAAAGUGCUACUGCCAGC